GUAACAAAAUGUUUUAAAACGCUUAUUUUCUAGGCAUCCUUAGUCUGGAAAUUCUAUAUGUGGUUGUUUGUCUUCUUCUUAACCUAGAGCAGCAUCUUCCUUGUUCUUUUCAAUUUUAAGUUGAAGCAGUACAAUAUAUUGAUCUUUUCUGUGGGCAGAAUUCUUAAUUUCAAUGCCCCUUUAGGGAAUUAAAUAUGGAUUUGAAAGAGAUGUCCAGCUGCUCAUACCAUUUGGCAGAAGCUGUCUAAAUUGUGCAAGUGGGGGAUAAAUGCAGACAUUUUGAGCUGUUCUAACCUCUCCUUGACUCGACAUCUCCAUCCAUUAUGAAUCCCUUGGGCCAGAUCCUCACUGAGGUAAAUUGGCAUAGUUUCCUUAGGCUUAUUCCUCCUGUGCUGACUUACACCAGCUGAGCCUGACAUUAUUUCCUCAUUAAGUGGAUGAAGUAACCAAAGCAUGUCUGCAGGCCUCAGAAUUGAAAUGCAUUUCUGUAAGUACUGCUUUGCUUUAGUAGCAGCACUAAUGCAGUGGAAGCUCCUGAUACCCUCUGUAGACACAGUCACAGGGGAGAGAGUGAAUUGAGGUAAUAUAUCCACAGCUGUGAACUGUUCUCCAUUUGAACAAGAGGGGACCGGCUGUGCCAAAUGAAGCAGAGGAAAGAUGAGCCAUUCUGCUUGAUCCUGGCCCAAUGCCCACAUGGUCCUGCUACCCAUUUUUUCCUGCUAAUACCCUGUCUCCUUCAUGGCCAGAUCUAGAUCUUUCACAGGACAGGAGAAUUUUGACACCAAUGCUUUUUUAUGAAGACUGCACAGAGAGGAGAGGAGCCUUUAUGUAACUGAGCAUAAAUGUGUGCAUUUGUGUGCAUCCAUUUGUGCCUGGAACACAUACAUAUACUGUCAAAUAGAGCAGACAGUGUAACUACAAACAUUCAGUGAGACUUGACUGUUUGUUUGUUUGUUUGUUUGUUUGUUUGUUUAGGGGCAGGUGUAGCUGUGAUACCAAAAGAAUGACUGUCUCAUGUGAUCUCCCAAACACUUGUCUGUGUAUCAAGUCACACCCUACUUUGGUGAUACAAUAGCAGGCACUGGCAAAUUCGAAAAGAACAGGACACAGUGCAGCACACCAAAACCUCUGCAUGGCACUGCAGUUGCUCUCUGAUUUAGGGGAAGCUACAGAGAAACUCUAGCACUGUACAAAAUAAUCAGUUUAAGAUACGAAAACAAACCACUGGAGACUUAUUGAGUCUUAAAUGUCUUUAUCUUGAAGUCUUUAUCUUAAAUGUCUCAGAAUCCUAGGAGCUUUUAAAAACACUCAUAAUAAUUCAAAUUGUUGCUAGUGUUAGCUUUACUGUUAUAUAUUGUUUUACUUUAUCAAGGCAGAAAUGUGCUCAUCAUUCAUGCAGUGUUAUAAAAUGCAGUUGUAGGGAAAAAAAUAAUCCUAAAC
rnacentral:lncRNA from 1 species